rnacentral:rRNA from 1 species
AUGGCAGCGAAAAUCCGUCAUUCGACUCUUCUUGUUCUACUAUUUGUAGUAGCUUUCUUCCUACCCCUGGUCUGUUCCACGGAGUUCGUCCACCUCUACUUCAAUUACACCAUCGACCCCUACACCAAGAACUACGCAGACUUGAAGAGAAUACUGGUGAGGAACCAGCCUGAGCUGCGAGUGCUGACGAGCAGGGCGUUGGCGGUUCGACGCCCCAACUUCUAUGACCUACCGGCUCGAGUGAUUUUAUGCCACCUCAACGGUGAUCUUCCUCAGGACAAGUGCGUGGUCGCCUUCGCAGACGACGAUAUCUCCGCCAUGGGCUUCAGGAACUCGAGCGGGCACUGGCACUGCAUAGGAGGCUUCCGGUUCGCGGGCUGUACAGUUCUCCCCUUCGGGGAGAAUUACGGCGAGCUUCUCGGAGAGGGUGGCCACGUAAACCUCCCGUUUGUACCGCUCGGGAGGGAGGCGGCGAAAGAGGGAGUGCGCCUUCUGGCAAGCUACUCAUACUCCCCCGGCGGGGACCUUGGACCGGCUAAGCGAGGCAUGGCCAGGUUCAUCGUCAUGAUAGCCGAAGCAGCCCGUUUCCGGCCCGUCAGCAACAGGUUGGCCAAUCACUGGGAGGAAGAGACCAACAUGCUCGAUGUUGAGGCAGAAUUCUGUGUAAACUGGGGAAGAAUGUCGUUUUUACUUAUUGACUGGGAUAAAACAACCGGGCGUACAAGCUGGGGAAGGGGGCAUUACGCAGCGGCUCAGGAGCUGGAGCAGGAAACAGGAAUUAAGAGCCCAAGAGAUGCUUUGCGCGUGCUAGAUCUGCUGGUGAGGCCAAGAGGUUAUAGUGUCCCCAACUAA